UGGGUAUGCCCAUUUGGGUCCUGUGCUGGAUCUAGGUCGGAUCGGAUGGGAUCGGAUUAUUGAGUACAAGAUCCAAAUUGAUCCAAAAAAUUAAAUGGGUUGGGUCGGAAUUUAGUAAAUCCAGAUCUGAUCCAAAAUAUAGAAUAGGUCCAAUUUAGAAUCCAACUCGGCCUCACGGGUUCUUUAAAAUGAUUUGGGUCGGAUCUAAAUGGGUUGGGUCAGGUUGGGUUGCAGGUCAACCCGACCCAUUUAUUGUCUUAAUGAUGAUGGUAAAUCUGAAGAGGAUGGAUGAUCAAUAGUUGAUCUAGAAAUUCAACUUCUA
rnacentral:lncRNA from 1 species